rnacentral:lncRNA from 1 species
AAACCAAAACAAACUAAUAUGUGGAAACAAAGUCAUUCGAUCAGGUGGGAGCACUGGGAAGGAGGGAGGAAGGCUGCCGUCUCCACGCCGCUGCCCUUAGCUCACACCAUGGACCUCCACGUGGCCGAGGACAGACGGCCCCACACCUGCUACACCCAGGAAGCUUGGCUACAAUUUCAACCACGUGGUUGGCCUCUUGCUGUGGGAGGAAAGGCCCCAUCUCCGACCCUGGGGAUCACAUCUCAAUACGAGAUUCGGGCAGCACAAACGCCCAAGCUGUGCCAGCCACUCGCCAUGCUGCUUUGACAGAGGACUUGCAUCAGGCUCAGCCCCCUGGAGCCACUCAACCAAGGUCGUCGUCGGUAAGCCUGUUCCAGCCUCCGCCUCUGCACCCUCCUGGUGGGUGGGGAUUCCCUGACUGGCACCAUAGGGAUAGCCAAACACCAGCACUCGAUCCUGGGCAGAUGAGAUCAAUGGCACUUUAAUAGUCAUGAAUGCUCAUAACCCAGUGUGGAGCACCCUUCCUGGGGAGAGGUCACAGGCCUGGCCUGGCCUCUUUGGGAAAGGGGGACUCAGAGGUUGAUGGUGACUCUCUGGAAGCCUCAGAGACCACUUUUGUCCUCAGUUCCUGUUUUCAGAAGAUAAGGUCAAAUGUCAGGAAAAGUCCUUUUUUUAAAUAGAAAUACAUGCGCCCGUCGAUCCUAAGGGCACUAUGAGGACCUACCCAGGAUACAGUGAAGACCCGGAAUGCUGGAACUGGGCUCUUCACCAGCUCACCCCGGGACCCCAGGCCAGUCAGUGGCUGGCCCCGGCCCUGAGAGAUGCCUGUGGCACCCCGUGAUUCCUCCCUAACAGCGCUUUGCCUCUGUAUGAGUUUCCUGGAGCUACCGUGACAAAUGUUCACUGUAGCUACCACAAACCCAGUGACUUAAAACAGCCCAAAUUCAUUAUCUUUCAGUUCUGGAGCUCAGACAACCAAACUCAGUCUCACCAGGCUAAAGUCAAGGUAUUGUUGGCAGCACUGGCUCCUUCUGGAGGCUUCAAGGGAAAACCGGUUUCCUGGUUUCCUCCAGCUUCUAAGAGACUGCUUCCCCCUAUUCCGUGGUUCCUGGUCUCUUCCUCCUUCCUCAUGAGGUAGGAGGUAGGACUGACUCCAAAGAUGAGACUCAGACACCAAACCAGACUGAAGACUAGCUAAAACAGGGCCUGGGGAAAAGCAGCUUUCAAUCAGACACGACGACCAGUGUGCUAGCUUAAUUUACUGUUGCUAUGGCAACAACCCGGAGUUACCGCCCCUUUCCUUGGC